AUACGGAGGAUCCGAGCGUUAUCCGGAUUUAUUGGGUUUAAAGGGUGCGCAGGCGGGAGAUUAAGUCGGCGGUGAAAUUUUGCAGCUCAACUGUAAAAGUGCCUUCGAAACUGGUUUCCUUGAGUGUAGAUGAAGUAGGCGGAAUUUGUGGUGUAGCGGUGAAAUGCAUAGAUAUCACGAGGAACUCCGAUUGCGCAGGCAGCUUACUAAACUACUACUGACGCUCAGGCACGAAGGCGUGGGGAGCAAACAGGAUUAGAUACCCUGGUAGUCCACGCAGUAAACGAUGAUUACUAGCUGUUUGCGAUACAAUGUAAGCGGCUGAGCGAAAGCGUUAAGUAAUCCACCUGGGGAGUACGUUCGCGAGAAUGAAACUCAAAUGAAUUGACGGGG
rnacentral:rRNA from 1 species